rnacentral:rRNA from 1 species
GAUGAACGCUGGCGGCGUGCCUAAUACAUGCAAGUCGAGCGAACGGACGAGAAGCUUGCUUCUCUGAUGUUAGCGGCGGACGGGUGAGUAACUCGUGGAUAACCUACCUAUAAGACGGGGAUAACUUCGGGAAACCGUAGCUAAUACCGGAUAAUAUUUUGAACCGCAUGGUUCAAAAGUGAAAGACGGUCUUGCUGUCACUUAUAGAUGGAUCCGCGCUGCAUUAGCUAGUUGGUAAGGUAACGGCUUACCAAGGCAACGAUGCAUAGCCGACCUGAGAGGGUGAUCGGCCACCCUGGAACUGAGACACGGUCCAGACUCCUACGGGAGGCAGCAGUAGGGAAUCUUCCGCAAUGGGCGAAAGCCUGACGGAGCAACGCCGCGUGAGUGAUGAAGGUCUUCGGAUCGUAAAACUCUGUUAUUAGGGAAGAACAUAUGUGUAAGUAACUGUGCACAUCUUGACGGUACCUAAUCAGAAAGCCACGGCUAACUACGUG